UACGUAGGGGGCAAGCGUUGUCCGGAUUUAUUGGGCGUAAAGAGCGUGUAGGCGGCCAGAUAGGUCCGUUGUGAAAACUGGAGGCUUAACCUCCAGCUGUCGAUGGAAACCAUCUGGCUAGAGUCCGGAAGAGGAGAGUGGAAUUCCUGGUGUAGCGGUGAAAUGCGCAGAUAUCAGGAAGAACACCGGUGGCGAAGGCGGGUCUCUGGGCAGUAACUGACGCUGAGGAGCGAAAGCGUGGGGAGCGAACAGG
rnacentral:rRNA from 1 species